rnacentral:rRNA from 1 species
AACGUAGGAGACAAACGUUAUCCGGAGUUACUGGGCGUAAAGGGCGUGUAGGUGGUGCUGUAAGUCUGGCGUGAAAUUUUUCGGCUUAACCGGGAAAGGUCGUCGGAUACUGCAGGACUAGAGGACGGUAGAGGCGUGUGGAAUUCCGGGUGUAGUGGUGAAAUGCGUAGAGAUCCGGAGGAACACCAGUGGCGAAGGCGGCUAUCUGGACGGUUACUGACGCUGAGACGCGAAAGCGUGGGGAGCAAACAGG